rnacentral:rRNA from 1 species
GUUUAAAGGGAGCGUAGGCCGGAGAUUAAGCGUGUUGUGAAAUGUAGACGCUCAACGUCUGCACUGCAGCGCGAACUGGUUUCCUUGAGUACGCACAAAGUGGGCGGAACUCGUGGUGUAGCGGUGAAAUGCUUAGAUAUCACGAAGAACUCCGAUUGCGAAGGCAGCUCACUGGAGCGCAACUGACGCUGAAGCUCGAAAGUGCGGGUAUCGAACAGGAUUAGAUACCCUGGUAGUCCGCACGGUAAACGAUGGAUGCCCGCUGUUGGUCUGAAUAGGUCAGCGGCCAAGCGAAAGCAUUAAGCAUCCCACCUGGGGAGUACGCCGGCAACGGUGCAACUCAAAUGAAUUGACGG